rnacentral:tRNA from 1 species
GCGGUCAUAGCUCAGCUGGGAGAGCGCGUCCUUGACGUGGACGAGGUCGCAGGUUCGAGCCCUGCUGGCCGUA